rnacentral:misc_RNA from 1 species
CAUCAAUUCCUUUAAUCCAGAACCUCCAUCACAAUGCAAACCAAGUCCCAGCCCUGCAGUGACUGAGGUAUUCUCAGGCUCCACUUGCCUGUGACCCCAUAGCAUAUUGUCUUGCUGUGCAGAUGAUGAUGAUGACACAAUCCCAAGACCACGGAGCAAUGAUGCAUUUGUAGCAGCAGCCCCCAUUUGAGCAGCUUUUUGCAAUAGUGCAGUGGCAGACAUUGCUGGUUGAGGUGGAGGUGCAUAUUGCCUACGCUCUUGCCCUGCAGUACCAAAUAUUGAUGACCCAUGAUUGGUUGAGAGGCAAAGAGAAAUGGGUUCAGUAGAUGAUGAUGGACCAAGAUCUGCAGGUCGAUCAGGGUGACCCAUGGCCCGAAUUAGGUCAGUAAAUGCAGGAGUUUGAGGAGGCUGUAAGCUUCCAGAUGCAGUUGAUGAAGCAAAUAAACUAGCAAAGACACUGCUGCUGCUGCUGCCAUUGCUGCUUGAGCUGGUGCUACUGCUACAGCUUCCAU